rnacentral:rRNA from 1 species
CCUACGGGGGGCAGCAGUGAGGAAUAUUGGUCAAUGGCCGUAAGGCUGAACCAGCCAAGUAGCGUGAGGGAAGACUGCCCUAUGGGUUGUAAACCUCUUUUAUGCGGGGAUAAAGGUGUCCACGUGUGGAUGUUUGCAUGUACCGCAUGAAUAAGGACCGGCUAAUUCCGUGCCAGCAGCCGCGGUAAUACGGAAGGUCCGGGCGUUAUCCGGAUUUAUUGGGUUUAAAGGGAGCGUAGGCCGGUCUUUAAGCGUGCCGGGAAAUUUUGUGGCUCAACCAUGAGAGUGCGGGGGGAACUGGAGACCUUGAGUGCGGGGAAGGCAGGCGGAAUUCGUGGUGUAGCGGUGAAAUGCUUAGAUAUCACGAAGAACCCCGAUUGCGAAGGCAGCCUGCCGCAGCGUUACUGACGCUGAAGCUCGAAAGCGUGGGUAUCGAACAGGAUUAGAUACCCUUGUAGUC